CCAUCCCCAAAAGUAUCACUCCUUCUCGUAUCCUUCAGAACAUUCAGGUAUUUGAUUUCAGCUUUAGCCCAGAGGAGAUGAAGCAGCUAGAUGCCUUGAACAAAAAUUGGCGCUACAUUGUGCCCAUGAUUACGGUGGAUGGAAAAAGGGUCCCAAGAGAUACAGGACACCCUCUGUACCCUUUUAAUGACCCAUACUGAGACCAUAGCUUCUCAGAUUCCCUGCAGAGACGUAUUACCUGCACACCCCAGAAAGAGGGGUCAGUAAAGCCAUUGGUACAAUAAAUACCACUGUUUGAUUGUCUGGUCA